UGAAUCUUUCGCAUCAGCCGCCUU
rnacentral:siRNA from 1 species